GACGAACGCUGGCGGCGUGCUUAACACAUGCAAGUCGAACGGUAAGGCCCUUCGGGGUACACGAGUGGCGAACGGGUGAGUAACACGUGGGCGAUCUGCCCUGCACUUCGGGAUAAGCCUGGGAAACUGGGUCUAAUACCGGAUAGGACCCUGGGAUGCAUGUCCUGGGGUGGAAAGCUUUUGCGGUGUGGGAUGGGCCCGCGGCCUAUCAGCUUGUUGGUGGGGUGAUGGCCUACCAAGGCGACGACGGGUAGCCGGCCUGAGAGGGUGACCGGCCACACUGGGACUGAGAUACGGCCCAGACUCCUACGGGAGGCAGCAGUGGGGAAUAUUGCACAAUGGGCGCAAGCCUGAUGCAGCGACGCCGCGUGAGGGAUGACGGCCUUCGGGUUGUAAACCUCUUUCAGCACCGACGAAGCGCAAGUGACGGUAGGUGCAGAAGAAGGACCGGCCAACUACGAGCCAGCAGCCGCAGUAA
rnacentral:rRNA from 1 species